rnacentral:rRNA from 1 species
UGCAGUCGAGCGAGAACCAGGCCUUCGGGCCUGGGGACAGCGGCGAACGGGUGAGUAACACGUGGGUAAUCAACCCUCGGCACUGGGAUAGCCCGGGGAAACCCGGAUUAAUACCGGAUGGCCCUUCGGAUCCUCGGAUCCGCAGGAAAAGGUAGCUUCGGCCUCCGGCCGAGGACGAGCCCGCGGCGGAUUAGCUUGUUGGUGGGGUAACGGCCUACCAAGGCGACGAUCCGUAGCUGGUCUGAGAGGACGAUCAGCCACACUGGGACUGAGACACGGCCCAGACUCCUACGGGAGGCAGCAGUGGGGAAUCUUGCGCUAAUGCGGGAAACCGUGACGCAGCGACGCCGCGUGAGGGAAGAAGGCCUUCGGGUUGUAAACCUCUUUCAGGAGGGACGAAGCCACUCGGGUUAAUAGCCCAGAGGGUGACGGUACCUCCAGAAGAAGCCCCGGCUAACUACGUGCCAGCAGCCGCGGUAAUACGUAGGGGGCGAGCGUUGUCCGGAUUUAUUGGGCGUAAAGAGCGUGUAGGCGGCUUUGCAGGUCCGUUGUGAAAACUCGAGGCUCAACCUCGAGACGCCGGUGGAAACCGCAAAGCUAGAGUCCGGAAGAGGAGAGUGGAAUUCCUGGUGUAGCGGUGAAAUGCGCAGAUAUCAGGAAGAACACCCGUGGCGAAGGCGGCUCUCUGGGACGGUACUGACGCUGAGACGCGAAAGCGUGGGGAGCGAACAGGAUUAGAUACCCUG